UGCAAGUCGAACGCUUUGUGGUUCAACUGAUUUGAAGAGCUUGCUCAGAUAUGACGAUGGACAUUGCAAAGAGUGGCGAACGGGUGAGUAACACGUGGGAAACCUACCUCUUAGCAGGGGAUAACAUUUGGAAACAGAUGCUAAUACCGUAUAACAAUAGCAACCGCAUGGUUGCUACUUAAAAGAUGGUUCUGCUAUCACUAAGAGAUGGUCCCGCGGUGCAUUAGUUAGUUGGUGAGGUAAUGGCUCACCAAGACGAUGAUGCAUAGCCGAGUUGAGAGACUGAUCGGCCACAAUGGGACUGAGACACGGCCCAUACUCCUACGGGAGGCAGCAGUAGGGAAUCUUCCACAAUGGGCGAAAGCCUGAUGGAGCAACGCCGCGUGUGUGAUGAAGGGUUUCGGCUCGUAAAACACUGUUGUAAGAGAAGAAUGACAUUGAGAGUAACUGUUCAAUGUGUGACGGUAUCUUACCAGAAAGGAACGGCUAAAUACGUGCCAGCAGCCGCGGUAAUACGUAUGUUCCAAGCGUUAUCCGGAUUUAUUGGGCGUAAAGCGAGCGCAGACGGUUAUUUAAGUCUGAAGUGAAAGCCCUCAGCUCAACUGAGGAAUUGCUUUGGAAACUGGAUGACUUGAGUGCAGUAGAGGAAAGUGGAACUCCAUGUGUAGCGGUGAAAUGCGUAGAUAUAUGGAAGAACACCAGUGGCGAAGGCGGCUUUCUGGACUGUAACUGACGUUGAGGCUCGAAAGUGUGGGUAGCAAACAGGAUUAGAUACCCUGGUAGUCCACACCGUAAACGAUGAGUGCUAGGUGUUUGAGGGUUUCCGCCCUUAAGUGCCGCAGCUAACGCAUUAAGCACUCCGCCUGGGGAGUACGACCGCAAGGUUGAAACUCAAAGGAAUUGACGGGGACCCGCACAAGCGGUGGAGCAUGUGGUU
rnacentral:rRNA from 1 species